UUUAAUAAAAUAAAAAGUGACUUGUACUGAGAGUUAAGACGAUAACCGGAAAUGAUUCUUGAUUCCAUUACCUACUAAAAAACUCCAAUCUCCUCCUCUCAUCAGUCAUCACUGCCUCCCAUCCAUAGCCGCCAACGGUUUUAACUGUCCACCGCCGAUCUGAGUUUCCGCCGCCCCUGUUCCAUCAGCUGUUGACCAAUUUGAAGAAGCACUCGCAGGUUUGUUUCAAAAUAAAAAGAAAACGCGCUCUCAUAUGCAUGUUAGUUUUGUUUAUAGCAAUAUUCAGUUUUUCUCUUUUGAUUAUUUCUUAUGCAAGCUUCAGGUGAUGAAAUUGAAUGGAUUAAUUGAAAUUGAUAGAAUUUGAUGUGUUACUGUUAUUAAACUUGUAUUGACUAACAAGUUGUUUGUUAACCGACAUUACGACUUUCUCAAGUGGCUUUUUUUUUCCGGUGACUAACUUUCUCAAGUUGUUUGUUAAUAAAGCAUCUCUGUUUAGCUAAUGGAGAAAGAAAAAAUUUAAAAAAAUAAACUACUGACAAAAAAAAUAAUUUCCUAACAUAUGAACGAAAAAUAAAUAAAAACAACAAAAUGCUAGAUAUAUAUUUUAAAAAUAAGAUUCUAAUAAGAUUUUUUUGUAAAUAUUAUUAGAUAAAGAGUUUUUUAUUUUUA
rnacentral:lncRNA from 1 species